AGAGGGUGCGAGCGUUAAUCGGAUUUACUGGGCGUAAAGCGUGCGUAGGCGGCUUAUUAAGUCGGAUGUGAAAUCCCCGAGCUUAACUUGGGAAUUGCAUUCGAUACUGGUGAGCUAGAGUAUGGGAGAGGAUGGUAGAAUUCCAGGUGUAGCGGUGAAAUGCGUAGAGAUCUGGAGGAAUACCGAUGGCGAAGGCAGCCAUCUGGCCUAAUACUGACGCUGAGGUACGAAAGCAUGGGGAGCAAAC
rnacentral:rRNA from 1 species